GAACGCUGGCGGCAGGCCUAACACAUGCAAGUCGAACGGUAACAGGAAGAAGCUUGCUUCUUUGCUGACGAGUGGCGGACGGGUGAGUAAUGUCUGGGAAACUGCCUGAUGGAGGGGGAUAACUACUGGAAACGGUAGCUAAUACCGCAUAACGUCGCAAGACCAAAGAGGGGGACCUUCGGGCCUCUUGCCAUCGGAUGUGCCCAGAUGGGAUUAGCUAGUAGGUGGGGUAACGGCUCACCUAGGCGACGAUCCCUAGCUGGUCUGAGAGGAUGACCAGCCACACUGGAACUGAGACAC
rnacentral:rRNA from 1 species